AGGACGAACGCUGGCGGCGUGCUUAACACAUGCAAGUCGAACGGAUCCUUGCUUUCGGGUGGGGGUUAGUGGCGAACGGGUGAGUAACACGUGGGUAACCUGCCCUCCACUCUGGGAUAACUCCGGGAAGCCGGGGCUAAUACCGGAUACGACCACGGCCGACAUCUGCUGUGGUGGAAAGGAUUCCGGCUAAGGAUGGGCUCGCGGCCUAUCAGCUAGUUGGUGGAGUAACGGCCCACCAAGGCGACGACGGGUAGCCGGCCUGAGAGGGCGACCGGCCACACUGGGACUGAGACACGGCCCAGACUCCUACGGGAGGCAGCAGUGGGAAUAUUGCGCAAUGGGCGAAAGCCUGACGCAGCGACGCCGCGUGGGGAUGAAGGCCUUCGGGUUGUAAACCCCUUUCAGCAGGGACGAAGCGAAAGUGACGGUACCUGCAGAAGAAGCGCCGGCUAACUACGUGCCAGCAGCCGC
rnacentral:rRNA from 1 species